AGCUGGUUCUCCCCGAAAUGCGUUUAGGCGCAGCGGUAGAUGUUAUAGCUUAGGGGUAAAGCACUGUUACGUAUGCGGGCUGGUAAUUCGGUACCAAAUCGUUGCAAACUAAGAAUACUAAGUGUAUAGUCUACCAGUAAGACUAUGGGGGAUAAGCUCCAUUGUCAAGAGGGAAACAGCCCAGAGCACCAGUUAAGGCCCCUAAAUAAUUACUAAGUGAUAAAGGAGGUGGGAGUGCAUAGACAAUCAGGAGGUUUGCUUAGAAGCAGCAAUCCUUUAAAGAGUGCGUAAUAGCUCACUGAUCGAGUAAGCCUGCGCCGAAAAUGAACGGGACUAAGUAAUUUGCCGAAACUGUGC
rnacentral:rRNA from 1 species